UCUUCUAUUUAUUCCUCAAUCUCCAUCUCAUUCCAUUCUAUUCUAUCCUACUUCCUUGUGUGUUUCCCACUGUCCUUGUUUGGUCUGCCAUGGCUUCUCUUUUGUUAUUCCCCUUCAUGCUUUCCAUCUUUUCAAUCUAUGCUCUUCCUCACUCUGUCAAUAAUCUCUCCCAUCAUCAACAACAUUUGCUCUUGCGAUGCAAAACUGCCAUUUCUAACAAACAACAGUGUGCUGAUCGACUGGACUCCCCUUCACCCUGCAUGCAAUUGGACAGGGGUUACCUGCGAUGCCUCUUCUCACUCCGUCCUUGCCCUCAACUUAUCCCAAAUGGGUUUAGAUGGCAUCAUUUCUCCCCUGCUUGGGAAUCUCAACUCUCUUCUGUCUAUCGAUAUCUCCGGGAAUGCCCCCACAGGUACCAUUCCACCUCAUCUCGGCCAACUUGCCCAUCUUCAGACACUCUGGCUGUAUGAAAAUCAGUUGCAAGGAACUAUUUCUCCGGAGUUGGGGAAUCUCUCCUCUCUUCACUUCUUAGAUUUGUCCUACAAUGCUCUCACUGGUCACAUUCCUCCUCAACUCAGUCAACUUCGUCGUCUGCAGCACCUCUGGCUGUACAACAAUCAACUACAAGGAAGCAUUCCACCCUCUUUCUCCGCUUGCCGCAGUCUGUAUGAGCUGGAACUCACCUCUAACUUACUGCAUGGUAGCAUUCCGCCCGAGCUGGGUCUCCUCCAAAGUUUGCAGAUCCUUUAUUUGGCUGAAAACAAUCUCACCGGUACCAUUCCUCUUUCUUUCAAAAAUCUGUCCAAUUUAGUUGAAUUAGAUUUGGGACGAAAUGAUCUCACAGGUACCAUUCCCCAUGAACUAAUCAUACUCACUCACCUGCAGGAACUUUACCUUUUUGAAAAUAUCUUAUCAGGCACCAUUCCAAGUUCUUUAGGAAAUCUGUCUGCCUUGAUUGUUUUAGAAUUGGGAGAAAAUAAUCUCUCUGGCCCUAUUACCCCUGAAUUGGGCAUGCUCACUAACUUGAAGAUUCUUUACCUUUCUAAAAAUAACUUAUCAGGCACCAUUCCUAGUUCUUUAGGAAAUCUGUCUUCCUUGACUAGUUUAGUAUUGUUAAACAACGAUCUUCAUGGCUCCAUUCCCCCUGAACUAGGCAUGCUCACGCACCUGCAGUUUCUUUAUCUUAAUGCAAAUAACUUAUCGGCCACCAUUACCAUUUCCUUCAAAAAUUUAUCAAGGUUGCAUGAAUUAGAUUUAUCUCAGAACCAGCUUAGCGGACAUAUUCCAAGGGAAAUUGGUCACAAUCUCUACAAUUUGCGGCAACUCAAUUUAUGGGGAAAUCAGCUCAGUGGAAACAUACCCAACUCCCUAGGAAAUUGUUCGAGUCUCACGCUACUACUUUUAAAUACAAAUCAUUUCAGUGGAGUGGUUCCAAUGGAGCUGAGAAACUUGAACCUUCUUAUUUUGCUUGACCUACAGUUCAGUCAACUCGUUAGUGACAAAAGUAACACAGUGGCCUUUCUCACUGCUCUCACAAACUGCUCCUACUUGGAAGAAUUAUUUGUGUCACAUAAUUACCUGACUGGUGUUUUGCCGCCAUCAAUAGGUCAACUUUCCUCCAGUCUCUCUCGCUUGAGUUUAUCAGGCAACAUGAUGAGCGGAAGCAUACCAGAACAGAUUGCUAAUCUGACAAACUUGACCUACUUAAAUUUAGGUAAUAAUCUUUUCAGCGGCAAUAUUCCAUCUCGAAUGGAAAGAUUCCGUAUGUUGGAAACAUUGAAUUUGGGUGGGAACAAAUUAGAAGGAAUCAUUCCAAGUGAGAUAGGUCAAAUGCAACAUCUCGGACUCUUAAAUCUGAGUUACAACCAGUUAUCUGGAAAAAUACCAGAUUCUCUUUGUAACCCCCAACAGCUAAGGCGUCUUCAUCUUCAGCACAACAUGUUAUCAGAAGAGAUCCCUGUUAGCUUAGAGGGAUGUCAGAGGUUGGAGCUCUUUGAUUUGUCUUACAAUAAACUAGGGGGAAGGAUACUAGGUGAAGUCCUUGCCAGCCUUUAAAACCUACAGUUCUACCUCAAUCUUUCAAGUAAUUUUCUGCAAGGGUCCUUGCCACGGGAAAUAAGUAAAAUUGCAAUGGCUCAAGCCAUAGACAUCUCUGGAAAUCGACUUGCAGGGGUGAUUCCAAAUUCUAUAGGAGACUGCACAGCAUUAGAGCAUCUAAAUCUGUCCCAUAAUGCCUUUGAAGGUCUAAUACUAGAUUCACUUUCCAAAUUACAGAAUCUCCAUGAAAUGGAUCUUUCUGCCAACAUUUUAUCAGGUUCAAUACCAAUGUCCCUUGAAAGACUAAAGGUACUUCACUACAUGAAUGUUUCUUUCAAUAAUUUGUCAGGGCAGAUUCCAGGAGGAGGGUUGUUUCCAAAUAGAACUGUUACAAUAUUGUUUAUGGGAAACCUUGGGUUAUGUGGCCCAACAAAUUAUUCAUUGCCUCCAUGCCCAAAUCAGAGCCAGGAAAAAUAUUCACUGCUCAAAAAAAUAGUGUUUUCAGUUGUUGGAACCGUUGCACUGGUAUUACUCUUUUUCAUUGUAGGAAUGUUAUGCAGGCAUCAAAUUUCCAGACAACUAUUCCAUUCCUCAAACUUUACUUUUGAAAGGCUCAGCUAUCCGAAAUUUUCUUAUCACGAUCUUGUCAUUGCAACAUCUGACUUUGAUGAGUCUAAUUUGCUUGGAGUGGGUAACUUUGGAUCAGUCUACAAAGGCAUUUUGAGGGAUGGUAAGAUAGUUGCCAUCAAGACUCUUAAUUUGCAGAAUGAAGAAUCUCAUAAGAGUUUUAACACAGAAUGCAAAGUGCUAGGGAGGAUUCGGCACCGUAACCUCAUCAAAGUCAUAAGUGCGUUUUCCUACCCUGGCUUAAAAGGUUUGGUUCUUCAAUUUGCAUCCAACGGGAGCUUGGAAAAGCAUUUGCACCCUGACAGAGAUGAUCAGGACAGUUGUCAUUUGGGAUUGAGUGAGUGUUUAAGCAUUUCUAUAGAUGUAGCCCAUGGCAUGGAAUAUUUACAUCAUGAUUGUCCCUUGCAACUUGUGCAUUGUGAUCUAAAACCUAGCAAUGUGCUCCUGGAUGCCAACUUGACAGCCUUUAUGACUGAUUUUGGUAUAUCCCGUUUGAUUACUACAAACUCUAUAGAUUCACUGAGCACAACAACAUUUUCUCUCAAAGGAUCUAUUGGCUAUAUUGCUCCAGAGUAUGGAUUGGGCGGGAAUGUUUCUACAGUGGGAGAUGUUUUUAGUUAUGGAAUUCUGAUAUUAGAGAUGGUUACAAGGAAGAGGCCAAGUGAUGACAUGUUUGUGGGGGACAUGAACUUGCAAAACUGGGUGAGGUCAGCUUUUCCAAACAGACUGGCAGAUAUUGUUGAUAGUAGGCUAUUCAGAGAUGUGAAUGAAAACAUGGAAGACAAUAGAUGUCUCCUUUCUUUCAUUCAUGUUGGUUUGCUUUGUAGCAAUGUAUCACCAAGGGAACGACCUUCCAUGAGAGAUGUAGCCAAGGUCUUGGAGAACGUGAAGACAACAUUCAUGGGAGGUGCAGCUGCUUCCAAUUUAACAUCCACCAUAUCAGACCUCCUACGCAAUGCCAGUCAUACACAAGCAUUGGCCUCUGACAGUCAAAGUUCUACAUUUUAAAUGUUUAUAAGUUCCACUAAGAAUUUCUUGUCCUUUAGCUUUUGCUAAUUUCAAGUCAAGUUUGUCUUCUAUCACAGUUUAGCCUUCUUUCAUGUAAAAUGCUCCUUAUGUUACUUCUAGCCUUAAGCUCCAUUAAGAAAUUUUUGUCCUUUAUUAUUGCUAGUUUCGAGUUUGUCUUCUAUCACAGGUCAGUCUUCUUCCAUGUAAAAUUAUUCUUAUGUUAAUUCUAGCUUUUUGAGCUUGUAAGCUAAUCCAAUUAAUUAAUGUGUCCAUUAUACUAAUUUGAGAAAGUAUAUGGCUGUCUGUAUAAACUUACAGAAGUAACGUAUUGCCUUAUUUAUACCAA